rnacentral:pre_miRNA from 10 species
ACGGGUCCUUCCGGAGGGCCCCCCCCAAUCCUGUUGUGCUCAAUUCAGAGGGUUGGGUGGAGGCUUUCCUGAAAGGCUCG